rnacentral:rRNA from 2 species
UCCGACCUCAGAUCGGACGAGAUUACCCGCUGAAUUUAAGCAUAUAAUUAAGCGGAGGAAAAGAAACUAACAAGGAUUUCCCCAGUAACGGCGAGUGAAGCGGGAAGAGCCCAGCACCGAAUCCCUCAGUGUCACGCUGACGGGAACUGUGGUGUGUGGGACGCCACCAGUCGUGUCAGAGGGCGCCGAAGUCCUCCUGAUCGGGGCUUCACCCAGAGCGGGUGUAAGGCCUUUGCAGGUGCCUCUCUGCGCGGCCGCGAGCGUCUCAGGAGUCGGGUUGUUUGGGAAUGCAGCCCAAAGC